rnacentral:rRNA from 1 species
CAACGCGAAGAACCUUACCUACUCUUGACAUCCAGAGAACUUAGCAGAGAUGCUUUGGUGCCUUCGGGAACUCUGAGACAGGUGCUGCAUGGCUGUCGUCAGCUCGUGUUGUGAAAUGUUGGGUUAAGUCCCGCAACGAGCGCAACCCUUAUCCUUUGUUGCCAGCGGUUCGGCCGGGAACUCAAAGGAGACUGCCAGUGAUAAACUGGAGGAAGGUGGGGAUGACGUCAAGUCAUCAUGGCCCUUACGAGUAGGGCUACACACGUGCUACAAUGGCAUAUACAAAGAGAAGCGACCUCGCGAGAGCAAGCGGACCUCAUAAAGUAUGUCGUAGUCCGGAUUGGAGUCUGCAACUCGACUCCAUGAAGUCGGAAUCGCUAGUAAUCGUGGAUCAGAAUGCCACGGUGAAUACGUUCCCGGG